CCUACGGGUGGCAGCAGUGGGGGAUAUUGCACAAUGGGCGAAACCCUGAUGCAGCGACGCCGCGUGGGUGAAGAAGCGCCUCGGCGCGUAAAGCCCUGUCAGCAGGGAAGAAAAUGACGGUACCUGAAGAAGAAGCGCCGGCUAACUACGUGCCAGCAGCCGCUGGAAUAGGUAGGGUGCACGCGUUAUCCGGGUUUACUGGGUGGAAAGGGGGCGCAGACGGCGAUGCAAGCUAGGAGGGAAAGCCCGGGACCCAACCCCGGGCCUGCUCUGGGAACUGCGUGCCGGGAGUGCGAGAGGGGAAGGCGGAAUGCCUGGUGUAGCGGUGAAAUGCGUAGAUAUCAGGCGGAACACCGGUGGCGAAGGCAGCCUGCUGGCCUGCAACUGACGUUGAGGCCCGAAAGCGUGGGGAGCAAACAGGAUUAGAUACCCGAGUAGUC
rnacentral:rRNA from 1 species